GAUGAACGCUAGCGGCAGGCCUAACACAUGCAAGUCGAGGGGCAGCACAGAAACAGCAAUGUUUUGGUGGCGACCGGCGGACGGGUGCAUAACGCGUAUGCAACCUACCUUUAACAGGGGGAUAACGGAGAGAAAUUUCCACUAAUACCCCAUAACAUCGAUCAAGGCAUCUUGAUUGGUUGAAAACUCCGGUGGUUAAAGAUGGGCAUGCGUUGUAUUAGGUAGUGGGGGAGGUAAUGGCUCACCAAGCCGACGAUACAUAGGGGGACUGAGAGGUUAGCCCCCCACACUGGUACUGAGACACGGACCAGACUCCUACGGGAGGCUGCAGUGAGGAAUAUUGGUCAAUGGGGGCAACCCUGAACCAGCCAUGCCGCGUGCAGGAAGACGGCUCUAUGAGUUGUAAACUGCUUUUAAACAGGGAUAAAGCACAGUAUGUAUGCUGUGUUGAAGGUACUGUAAGAAUAAGGAUCGGCUAACUCCGUGCCAGCCGCCGCCGUAA
rnacentral:rRNA from 1 species